GCGCCCAUAGCUCAGCUGGAUAGAGUAGUGGACUUCGAAUCCAAUGGUCGCAGGUUCGACUCCUGUUGGGCGCACCA
rnacentral:tRNA from 1 species